UACGGGGAGGGCAAGCGUUGUUCGGAAUUACUGGGCGUAAAGGGCGCGUAGGCGGUGCUCUAAGUCGGAUGUGAAAACUCUGGGCUCAACCCAGAGCCUGCAUCCGAAACUGGAGUGCUAGAGUUCUGGAGGGGGUAGCGGAAUUCCUGGUGUAGCGGUGAAAUGCGUAGAUAUCAGGAGGAACACCGGUGGCGAAGGCGGCUACCUGGACAGAAACUGACGCUGAGGCGCGAAAGCUAGGGGAGCAAACAGG
rnacentral:rRNA from 1 species